UCACAGAGGAGGGACCAAGGGCCAGGGGGACAGGGUGCACUCACCACGGUGUCCCCCCUCUUGCACUCCAGGUGUGCUUCUAGCAUCGUAUUCUCCUGUGGAGGCAAGUCGGUCUUGCAAAUCACCUGCAUGGUGGUGGCACACAUCCCCACUCCACAGGCUGGGAGCCCGAGGCUGAGGGCAGACACUGGCCCAGGUCGUCAUUGGUGGAUCCGAAAUGCGGACGGGGUGGACGAGGAUCCGAGGGUCACCUGCUGGCCUUCUGGGACGGAGAUGUUCACCAGGGCUUCCGUGAUAUUUGCGUUCUCCUGCACUUGGAGGAAGGUCUUGUCCACAGAGCAGACUGGGAAGUUGGAGAGGACAGGAAGGAAAGAGCAACUUCCCCCUCCACGCUGGCGGCAGGAAGCAGAGACCAGCGGCCGGAGGAGAAGGUGCUCCCAUGGAUGCCUUCCAAACCUGCUCUUGGCCCGGCAGGGUCACCACAGUUGUCAUCCCAGCCACUCGGGAGCCCAGGCUGGAGGAUCACCAGCUUAAAGCCAGUCUUGGCCCCUUAGUGAGACCCCAUCCCAAAAUGAUACUGUUUGUAAGGGGCUGGGGUGUGGCUCAGUGGUAGAGUGCCUGCCUCCCACGUGAGGCAAUGGGUUCGAUCCUCAGCACCACAAAAAAAUAAAUAAAGAUAUGGUGUCCAUCUACAACUAAAAAAAAAAAAAUAAAAAUAAAGUACAUUCAUGAGAACAUUGCAAAUCCCAAAUAUCAACUUGAUCUGUGAGAUUUCUCAGCAUCUGCAAUCACUUAAGUAAUCAGGCAGAUCUUCACUAGGAAAAUCUAUUUUUAAAAAAUUAACAUAAAGUGGGGCUGGGUUGUAGCUCAGUGGUAGAGUGCUUGCCUCGCAGCCCCCCAGCCCCUGGUUAUCACCUCUGCCUCUGUCUCUGUGAAUGGUGACUGUAGAGACCCACGGGAGUGGGAUCACUCAAAUCUGCAUAACAUUCCAUUGCAUGGGUAUUGGUGUUUGUCCAUCCCCCAUCUGUUGAUGGACAUCAGGCUGCUUCCACCUUUGACAUUGUGAAUGUGGGGGUGCAGACAGCUCUUUAAAGCUUGGGUUUUUUUUGGGGGAAGGGUGCUGGGGAUUGAACCAGGGCCUUGUACAUACUAGGCAAGUACUCUACUGACUGAGCUAUAUCCCCAGCCCUAGAGCCUGUUUUUAAUUCUUUGGGGAAUAUGGUUAGGAGUGGGUUGCUGGGUCAUAUUUGAUUUUUCUUUCCUUCCUUCCUUCCUUCCUUCCUUCCUUCCUUCCUUCCUUUCUUUACCAGGGAUUGAACCCAGGGACACUUAACCACUGAGCCUCAACCCUAGUUCUACUUUUUAUUUUGAAACGGGUUCUCAUUAAGUUGUUUAGUGCCUUGCUAAAUUGCGGAGACUGGCUUUUUUUUCUUCUUCUUUUUGUUUUUAGUUGUAGAUGGACAGCAUGCCUUCAUUUUAUUUGUUUGUUUGUUUAUUUAUUUUUUAGUUUUAGGUGGACACACUAUCUUUAUUUUAUUUUUAUUUUUAAGUGGUUAUUGAGGAUCGAACCCAGCGCCCCGCGCAUGCCAGGUGAGCGCGCUGAGGCACAUCCCCAGCCCUGUUUAUUUCUAUGUGGUGCUGAGGAUGGAACCCAGUGCCUCACACGUGCGAGGCGAGCGCUCUGCCACUCAGCCCCAGCCCCAGA